rnacentral:lncRNA from 1 species
UCCUGAGGGUCUGCCUGCUCAGGUCACGGGUACUCUGGUAGAGAAGUGGAGUAUUAACAUCACAGAUACACACACACUAAUGGGAAGGAGCUCCCUCUGAAAACCGACAGCGGACAGCUACCAUGUUCUAGAUGCCCAUUUUAGUUCUUCAGAAAGCACAGUCGUCUCUUCUGGAUUCAGAACUCCAUCUCCAGCAUCAUGAUCUACAGAGAACCGGACACAAGACAAAACAAGCGAACACCAUCUUCUGAAAAUCAGGUUGCUUCUUUUAAACUGCCUUAGGUCACGUCAGCUCUGUGUUCCUGAGCGUCAAGGCUGAGCGGCUACACUGCAGCUGAAACAGAGCCAGCCAGCAGUGAGAGAGCUGCCUCUGUCUGGGCACUAGCGUGCUCUCAGGAGUUGUUUAGACUUCCAGCCCUCCUCUUCUCCAGUUCACGAAACAGAUGUAGAACUUUCAGCUACUUCUCCAGUUACCUCUCUUGCUUCCAUGCAUUUUUCUGGUCAUGAUGAUAAUGGACUGAACCUCUGAACAUGUAAGCCAGCCCCGAUUAAAUGUUCUCCUUUGU